AAGUCGUAACAAGGUUUCCGUAGGUGAACCUGCGGAAGGAUCAUUAACACAACAACUUCUAUAUCAACCUGGGAGCACUUGACACGAGCCUUUCCGAGCGGAUGCUGAUUCGGCAAUGGUUGGAUUCGGCCUUCUCAGCUGUGGCGCCAUCUUGGCCCUGCCAUGAACUUGAAAGUGGCUUGGUCUUGCUCGUACAUCAUGUGCGAUACGUGAGUUCCUAUCCGACUUCGUUAGGUAUUACAGCCUCAACCAUGGCUGGCCCUUUUUUUUUACAACCUAUUGAAUUUCUGUACUGAUUUGGGCUUUCGGAUCGAGAGGAAGCAAUUCCUUUCUCCAAAGCUUUUUGAUGGAGCAAUCCACUCAUUAAGUAACCAAAACACAACUCUUAACAGCGGAUAUCUCGGUUCUC
rnacentral:misc_RNA from 1 species